UGUUUACUGAAUAUAAAUUAGUUUCAUCAGCAGAGUGUUUAAUCGUGACGUGAUAACUUGAGAUUUCCCACUAAAACCACUCAAUAAAACAAACUAAAUAUGGAUGGCCAAGGUGAAUUUUGUUGGAAGUGUCACGAAGGAGGAAUAACAUUGAACUGCUCUUCCUGCAUACGAACAUAUCACAUUGACUGUGUGGAGGCCACAAAUAUGACCAACAUCAAAAUUUGGCGUUGCAAAGAUUGCACCACAAUGGAAUCGUCAAAAGACACGCCUGAUGAACUGAAGCGGAUACCAGUCAUAAUUCAUGAACGGCUCAAACGUUUUGAUCAAAAUUUCUUUGAGCACCAAAAGAAGUCGAAACGAUUGAAAUCCG